GAUGAACGCUGGCGGCGUGCCUAAUACAUGCAAGUCGAGCGAACGGACGAGAAGCUUGCUUCUCUGAUGUUAGCGGCGGACGGGUGAGUAACACGUGGAUAACCUACCUAUAAGACUGGGAUAACUUCGGGAAACCGGAGCUAAUACCGGAUAAUAUUUUGAACCGCAUGGUUCAAAAGUGAAAGACGGUCUUGCUGUCACUUAUAGAUGGAUCCGCGCUGCAUUAGCUAGUUGGUAAGGUAACGGCUUACCAAGGCAACGAUGCAUAGCCGACCUGAGAGGGUGGUCGGCCACACUGGAACUGAGACACGGUCCAGACUCCUACGGUAGGCAGCAGUAGGGAAUCUUCCGCAAUGGGCGAAAGCCUGACGGAGCAACGCCGCGUGAGUGAUGAAGGUCUUCGGAUCGUAAAACUCUGUUAUUAGGGAAGAACAUAUGUGUAAGUAACUGUGCACAUCUUGACGGUACCUAAUCAGAAAGCCACGGCUAACUACGUG
rnacentral:rRNA from 1 species